rnacentral:tRNA from 1 species
GCGGGUGUAGUUCAGUGGUAGAACGUCUCGUUGCCAACGAGAAGGUCGUGGGUUCAACUCCCAUCGCCCGCU